CAGCCCAUGACGCACGCACCGAGGAGUCUAGUACGGCACCGGUUGGAGUGGAGAAACGACCGGCUGGGCACCCCCUGACGCCAAACAUAAACGGGCUGUGCCAUGCGUCUCUGCCGCGUAAAUCCACGUCAAAACGAGUUGUGCGCCCAAAGAUGGACCUCUCCGGCAGUGAGUCGUCUUCCAACUGAUGAUAUGAGGGGGAGGCAGAGCAUCCAUCCAGAUGACUUCAACUUUAAUAAAAGCAGCCCCUCAUACUGCUCGGCCCCCACACGUCAUACGCUGUAAAAAGCACAGUGAGUGGUUGCCGUGUCAAAUAAAUGACUUUUAAUUUAA